rnacentral:rRNA from 1 species
AUUGAACGCUGGCGGCAGGCCUAACACAUGCAAGUCGAACGGUAACAGGAAGAAGCUUGCUUCUUUGCUGACGAGUGGCGGACGGGUGAGUAAUGUCUGGGAAACUGCCUGAUGGAGGGGGAUAACUACUGGAAACGGUAGCUAAUACCGCAUAACGUCGCAAGACCAAAAAGGGGGACCUUCGGGCCUCUUGCCAUCGGAUGUGCCCAGAUGGGAUUAGCUAGUAGGUGGGGUAACGGCUCACCUAGGCGACGAUCCCUAGCUGGUCUGAGGGGAUGACCAGCCACACUGGAACUGAGACACGGUCCAGACUCCUACGGGAGGCAGCAGUGGGGAAUAUUGCACAAUGGGCGCAAGCCUGAUGCAGCCAUGCCGCGUGUAUGAAGAAGGCCUUCGGGUUGUAAAGUACUUUCAGCGGGGAGGAAGGGAGUAAAGUUAAUACCUUUGCUCAUUGACGUUACCCGCAGAAGAAGCACCGGCUAACUCCGU